rnacentral:misc_RNA from 1 species
UGGCUCUGGCAUNGAUGAAGAACGCAGCGAAAUGCGAUAAGUAAUGCGAAUUGCAGAUCUCUAGUGAGUCAUCGAAUCUUUGAACGCACAUUGCGCCCUCUAGUAUUCUGGAGGGCAUGCCUGUCCGAGCGUCACUACAAUACUCAAGCUCUGCUUGGCGUUGGGGUGCUGCGGUUCGCGCCGCAGGGCCCUCAAAAUCAGUGGCAGGACUGUUACGAGACCUGAGCGAAGUAAUAUUACAGCGCUUUGGGAUAUCGCAGCGGCUCCUAGCCCCAAUAUAUUUUAUAUUUCUAGUGUUGACCUCGGAUCAGGUAGGAAUACCCGCUGA